CGUCCUCUGCCAGUUGCUACCGAGAAGGUCGGAAUUUGUUGCGGCGUGACUUUUUAGGCGUGACGAUGUCAGGAAGAGGAGUGUGCAGCAAGAAUGAUGUUUGACGGUGGUGUUGCAGCAGAAGAGGCCCAUAUGGAAACAAGCCGUGCCUAGCAGAUGGAUGAAUGGAGCUGCGUGUGUGGCUGGAAGGUGGGCCGCAGCGGGUGGUGUGCGGCGUGACCGAAGCCACCACUUGCCAGGAUGUGGUGUACGCUCUGGCACAGGCGACCGCACAGACGGGCCGCUUUGCUCUUGUCGAGCGCAGCCGCCGCUCUGAGCGCCCCCUGGCACCCUCGGACCGGCCGCUGCGGCUGCUCGCCCGCUGGGGACGCUGCGCGUCAGACGUCCACUUCCUGCUGAGGCGCUGCGGUCCAACCAGCACGGGGCCCAAGGCUGGCAGCACGCCACGAGGUGUUGCAGCAGCUGUGCAGGCCCCAUCGGAAAGGCCACGGCGCCCGCCGCCAUAUGACGAGGCGGUCACCCGGCUGGCGGCUGGCGCCCACCACUUCCCUCGAAGCAAGGAGCCGCUGCAGGGCCUGGGUGAGUCGCCCAGCAAGCAGCAGCAGCCUGACGACGACUACUCGGAGCUGCUCAGGGUGGUCAGCCUGCAGAGGGAGCGACUGCACAACACCCAUGAGGAAGUGGCCCAAAAAGAUGCCGAGCUGUCCGCAUGGGAAGGAGCAGAGGCCAGCAGCCCAAGCCUGGAAGAGCAGCUGUGCUUGUCACGACAGGAAGAGCGCACGCUGCGCUCUGAGCUGACCCUGGCACACUCGCAGCUGGCCAACUGUGAGGCACGCCUGCUGCAGUGCCGCCAGCGCCUCUGCCAGCUGGGACACGAGCUUUCGGAGGAGAAAUGCUGUCAAGGUGGGGAAGGUGGAGACGAGCUGUCGGAGCAGCUGUCAGAGCGUCGGCGCAUGGUGGCUCAGCUGAGCGAGGAACUGCGCGAGGCGAACCUGGAGGCGCUUGCGUUGGCCGAUGCCGACCACAAGCAUUGGCUCGAGGCCUCUGGUGGCUUUUUCAAUCGACCUGGGAGCACGCGCAAGAUUGUUGGCUCCCCGCGGCAGCUGGAAAAUGCAGUGCCCACAAGCAAGAAUCCCAAUGGUGUCUGGGUCUGACUCAAGCCUGCAGCAGUGCCAACAGCACUGUUGCACUCUCAACUAGGACAAAAUGUGUGAUCCUGGAAGCCAAGCCAAACAUGGAGGCAGCAUUGCAGUGAAAAUGGUGCUAACUGACUGCUGUGUUCACCUUGUGUGAGCCUUGUUGUGGACAUUGCCUGCUUUGGUUGUUUAUCCAUGGUGGGACCAAACCUUCAUCAUGCUGAUUGCACUAUGGAUUGUGUUGGAGCACAAACUUCUCUGAGCAUGUCAGGUUGACUCUGUUUUUUCACUCGCCAUAGGCAACAGUCAAACCUGUAAAUUUGUUUUGCUUUUACUUAGGACACAAGCAUCUGUGUGAUGUGUGCAAUGGUGUGGCGCAGAUUGUUUUAAAGCAGUCUGUGAUAGAACUGCUUUUGAAAAAGUGUUGCUGCAUCAUCCUCAAGUACGGCCUUGGAACGACAGUGGCAACACAAAUCUGGUCAUAACCACAAACUUGUGGACUCCUAUGGUCUUCCAAGCAUUGCUGACAUGGUUUCGAGGACCACUGCACAUAAGAUUGUGCAUGGCAAGGAUCUGCAGGAGCUGAGAUAUCGCCACAAACUAAUGCUCAAGCCAGUGUUGACCAACCUUUUAUUGUUCCAAGUGUUUGUCGUAUUUGAUGCCUCUUAUUUUUUUUGGCCACCUGGAGCCUUUGUAUAGCAGCUCUGAGUGAUAUCUACAAAUUGUGGCAGCCAAGGGUAUUUAAUAUUGGCAAGUGCUAAUGUUCUAAAUUGCAAAAAUGUGGAUAGUGACGCUGAGUGAGCAAGUCCACAGACAAACGUCAUUGUAAUUCCAAGUCUCUUUUCUCUUUCUCAAGUGUUGAAUUUUACUACAUCUUGCUUUUUGAUGCACUUAUUCCAGCCACUCACUCGUGGACAGUCAACUUCCGUUAAUUCGAGCCAGACGGUGCCAACAAAACUGAUCAAAUUAUUUGGCAGGUCUAAUUAAACAGUAUGUAAAAAACAAACAUCACAUUUGUCCGAUUCUAACAUGCCCACUUUCUAUGUGUCUAAAGUAGAAAACUAGCGUAGGAAUGACAUCACAGCUUCUAAACCAAGUAGAAAUCUAAUGCACACCCAAUUGCCUGCCAAGAAAAAUGGACAAGGGUCUAACAUGGUUUUUAAGGUCACCAGCGUUAAAUGGUAAAGCACAAAUGUCACAAAGGCAGUUUGGUUUCAAAUACGCUGUCACAGUGCUGGCAAUUUUCGGCCCAAUUUGGGAAAAAAUAAAGCCGCAUUAGAAUUAGGUGCUGCAAUCAGACGUUUGAGAGGUUUAGCUUGUCCGGUAAUCGGGUAAACGCGAGCAGACCGGGCGUUGGGGCCGGAACUGUUAACGUGAGCGGCCUGUAUGGUGCUACCACCUGGUGGCGCAGAAAUCAAACACAAAAAACAGCUAAUAUUGCAGUAAACAUGUGUAUUCUACUUCUCUGCCGGUGUAAAUUUUCGCUGUCACAUUUACACUAGCAGCAGAGUAGAAUACACUUGGUUACUGCAAUAUUAGCUGUUUUUUGUCUGUUUGAUUUCUGCGCCACCAGGUGGUAGCACCAUACAGGCCGCUCACGUUUACGGUUCCGGCAAAACGCCCCAACGCCCGGUCCGCUCGCGUUUACCCGAUUACCGGACAAGCUAAACCUCUCUACUGUCAGCUACGGCUAUUGCUUGGAAAUUAUCCAGCAAAGGCCAGUUUUAGGAUUGAAAUAACGAAAGUUUGGGCCCACAGAAAUGCAUGGGCACCAGCCAGGACCUUUGGUCAGGAUCAAAUUGAUGGAAGUCUACUGUAAUGCCGUGGCCACGAGGGCACAGGAAGGAAAACUGAGUUGUGGUUUUUGAAAAGAAUGAAGUUCGUAUCAGAAGUCGGAGCAUUUGCUAUUUGUUGUAUAAUGCACUUUUAUUGUUCAGCACUGUAAAAUUUAAAUUAUGAGAAAUAUCAUUCUUCAUGGAUGCAGAUACAGAAUGGGCACCAAUUUAACAUAAAGGAGAGGACAAAAGGGUGCGGGGGUAAAAGUCUGUCACGGCAGUCAUGCGUGCUAACGAUUAGUAAUGCGGCUGUAUUUGUCAGUUUUGCUAAAGUAAGAUUGCAUGUGGGCGAUGAUUGACUGCAACGAGUGACUGCGCAGCGGGCAUGCAUCAGCUCCUGCUAUUAUGUUGGAUCUGCCGCAAAGCCUCCUCACCUGAACUUGCUGCAUUUUUGAGCAUGCAUUGUAUUCGGAGCAUGUUGGUGCAUGCGAGAGGUUCAAUAAAAAGAGAGUUGGACAUGCUUG
rnacentral:misc_RNA from 1 species